UCAGAACGAACGCUGGCGGCGUGCUUAACACAUGCAAGUCGAACGCGAAAGGGACUUCGGUCCUGAGUAAAGUGGCGCACGGGUGAGUAACGCGUAGAUAACCUGUCUUCAUGUCUGGAAUAAUACGCCGAAAGGGGUACUAAUACCGGAUAUUCUUGCUUUUCAUAAGUUAUGCAAGCAAAGGUGGCCUCUGCAUAUGCUACUGCAUGAAGAGGGGUCUGCGUACCAUUAGCUAGUAGGUGGGGUAAUGGCCUACCUAGGCGACGAUGGUUAGCGGGUCUGAGAGGAUGAUCCGCCACACUGGCACUGGAACACGGGCCAGACUCCUACGGGAGGCAGCAGUGAGGAAUAUUGCGCAAUGGGGGAAACCCUGACGCAGCGACGCCGCGUGAGUGAGGAAGGCCUUCGGGUCGUAAAGCUCUGUCAAGAGGAAAGAAGUGUACAAUGGCUAAUACCUGUUGUAUUUGACGGUACCUCUAAAGGAAGCACCGGCUAACUCCGUGCCAGCCGCGGC
rnacentral:rRNA from 1 species